AACGAACGCUGGCGGCAGGCCUAACACAUGCAAGUCGAGCGAGGACUUCGGUCCUAGCGGCGGACGGGUGAGUAACGCGUGGGAACGUGCCCUUUGCUACGGAAUAGCCCCGGGAACCUGGGGGUAAUACCGUAUGUGCCCGAGAGGGGAAAGAUUUAUCGGCAAAGGAUCGGCCCGCGUUGGAUUAGGUAGUUGGUGGGGUAAUGGCCUACCAAGCCGACGAUCCAUAGCUGGUUUGAGAGGAUGAUCAGCCACACUGGGACUGAGACACGGCCCAGACUCCUACGGGAGGCAGCAGUGGGGAAUCUUAGACAAUGGGCGCAAGCCUGAUCUAGCCAUGCCGCGUGAGCGAUGAAGGCCUUAGGGUUGUAAAGCUCUUUCAGUGGGGAAGAUAAUGACGGUACCCACAGAAGAAGCCCCGGCUAACUCCGUGCCAGCCGCCGCGGUAACAC
rnacentral:rRNA from 1 species